CCUCUGAUAUAUUACCAUAUUAUCUUCUACAACUUAAUCCUUGCAGAGUCUUAAGGACUUCUUGUGAUAUAAGCAGCUGAUCCUCAUACCGCUGCUUACACCUUCAUCAGAAGCUCAUUCUAUCAUAUACACAGUCUGUCUUCAUUCAUUGUGUCAGAUAGAGACAGUCAAUUUGUCAGCACACUCUGAGCCUGUGUAUGUCAAUUAUUAAGAAUUGAACAAAAAUUAUCAACAGCAUAUCACUCAGAGACUGAUGAAGCUACUGAGAGAAUGAUACAAAUGAUAAAGAACAUCCUUCAUAAGUUCUGCAAUUACACACAAAACAACUGAAGCAAUCUACUGCCACACACUGAGAUUGCAAUUAACAGUUGAGAUUUCACUACAACAGACAUAAGCUCAUUCUUUCUUUUAUAUGAAUACAACUUAGAGAUUCUGAACUUCUCUGAGACUCUCUGAGAAAUCACACACACCUGCAGCUUCAUACAGACAGCAGAGAAUAUUGUAAGCAAGCUGAAGAAAGUCUGUGAAUGAGCAGAAGCUUCAAUGAUCAAUGUUCAGUAAAAUUAUAAAAAUCAAAUGAACAUCAGAAGAAGUUCUGCAACUCAAUAUUAUAUAAAAGACAAAAUCUGAUUGAAUCUCAAGAAUAUAAGAACAGACCACCCCUCACAUACACUAGAUUAUCACCACAUCAAGUAUACAGUGAAGAA
rnacentral:sRNA from 1 species